rnacentral:rRNA from 1 species
CUACGGGAGGCAGCAGUCGCGAAAACUCCGCAAUGCACGAAAGUGUGACGGGGCUACCCCGAGUGCCAUCCGCUGAGGAUGGCUUUUCUUUGGUAUAACUAGCCAUUGGAAUAAGGAGAGGGCAAGACUGGUGUCAGCCGCCGCGGUAAUACCAGCUCUCCGAGUGGUAGGGAUGAUUAUUGGGCUUAAAGCGUCCGUAGCCGGCUUAGCAAGUUUCCUGUUAAACCCAGCGACUCAAUCGUUGGAUCGCGGGAAAUACUACUAGGCUAGGAGGCGGGAGAGGUCAACGGUACUUCUGGGGUAGGGGUGAAAUCCUAUAAUCCCGGGAGGACCACCAGUGGCGAAGGCUGUUGACUAGAACGCGCUCGACGGUGAGGGACGAAAGCUGGGGGAGCGAACCGGAUUAGAUACCCCUGUAGUC